UACGUAGGCAGCAAGCGUUGUUCGGAGUUACUGGGCGUAAAGGGUGCGUAGGCGGCUUUUAAGUUUGGUGUGAAAUCUCCCGGCUCAACUGGGAGGUGCGCCGAAUACUGAGAGGCUAGAGUGUGGGAGAGGAAAGUGGAAUUCCUGGUGUAGCGGUGAAAUGCGUAGAUAUCAGGAGGAACACCGGUGGUGUAAACGGCUUCUGGACCAUAACUGACGCUGAGGCACGAAAGCGUGGGUAGCAAACAGG
rnacentral:rRNA from 1 species